GGGUUUCUUUCUGGAGGUCCCUCCUUGGUGAAGUUUUCCCUUUGAACCUGGAAUCUUAUGAUAUGGGGGGAAGAGCUGUGUUUUUCUUUUGCGGUCUUUUAUGAACUACUGCUCUUCAGGGACAGAGACCACUUGUGCAAGAGGGAGAGCAACUGCUUAUUGAUGUAAUUGUAGCAAAUGAAGACAGUAUAAAGGGGAGGUAACUGACAGCAUCUUUCUGAAAGAUAUGCAGAGACUCUCCGGCUUCAUUGGGGUUGUUUGUACAUGUUGCCAGAUACUUGUCCUAAGUGGUGUUUGUUUCCUUUCCAUAAAGAAGACACCAGCUCUGGUCGCUGAUAAAACAAAGCUUGGCAAAGUCCCAAGCACAAUAUCUUGUUCUGGGAAUGCACUCAACUUGAUCUUCUCAUUUACCUCACAGGCAUUCAUUCUUCAAAAGCCAAGGGCGUACAUCUUUGGGAGAUGAAGCUGCAAAAGAAUUUUGAAUAGAUUGAACCUGGGGAUACUUCUGGCUCAGUUAGUAUUAAUGGCAAGUUGGCUUUGGAAAAUGACAAACUCCGCAGUCUGGUGCUGGAAGAAUUAGAAGGGCUUGAAACGUGGGAAAAUAAUGGAGAAACAGCUUUGAAGUGGUUAUUCAUCUCCUUCAAAUACACCCACCGGACAACUGGGACAGAUACAAGCCGCAAAGGGAGGUACCUCCCAUGGUCAGCCCUGCAGCCCCGCAGAAGUUAGAAAGGAGUGGGGAGAAGAAAUGGUGGAGCUGGCAACAUCUUUGUGAUCUCUCAAGUGGAUCCACAGCCCAGGUGGAGCAUCCUGUUCUACUAAAGGUUGUAGAAACAUUUCUCUCCCACCUCUUUGUCUUUGGGCUGAGUCCAGAAAACUUCAGUGACAUCUGGGAAAAAAGUGAUGAAACUGUACCUGAACAAUAACAUUAAAACAUAGCUUGCUGGCAGCAUGGGCUGUGUUAUGUGAGGUCUGCCUGUUCCUGCUUUACCCAGAGAGCACCAGCAGCAAGCUGGACAUGUCCUCAGAUGGCUGCAGAAGUCAAGUUGUGAGAGCUGCACCGUGGCAGGUGAAU